ensembl:lncRNA
GGUGGAAACACAACUGACCAAAAAGACUGCAGCGACACAGGACGCCUACGCUCAAGGGACUGGGCAUGUCAUUGAUGUGCUUAAUGUUGUUCUUUUUCAGAUGACCCCUCUGCUCCUGCAUGCAUCAACUAGUGAUGCCCACUCUGCAAAGACUUUGGCAGAAAUGAACAUCAUAAGGAAAUCGUUUAAUUAUGGCCCUUGUCAAGCGCUCAGAGUCUGCUCCAAGGGACCAGAUUUCAGCUCUCUUCAACUUCAUUACAGCAUCUUGAAUAUUCAUCUGGAGUAGAUCUACAACCACACACUUCAUUUGGAACUAAGUGGAAAACAAAGGAGGUUUUCCUCGUGCUCCUCAUGACUCUGGUGUUCACUGAUGGAUGGGAGGAUAUCAGGCUCAGCCGUGACCGAUGGGUUCAUUUUAACUCGGCACCCUGCCGGAGCAUAUGAUAUAUUUGAGCACAACCACAUUCUCCCAAUUGUUUUUGACACAAAGAAUGAACAGGCUUGGACAGAUUAUCUAAGUGAAACAGGUUUUUAUUGUUAAAAAGGAUUACGGUAAAAACAAAACAAAAAAAUAAAUAAAAUAAAAUAAAAUAAAAAACUCUCCCG